UUUAGCGUCGGUUUGGUGUGGCAGGGCAACUUUGGACACAGACGCUGCUGAGAGGGAGCCUAAAAACUUUUCCCAGGAGGAAGCAUAAGAUGUAAUUGUUUCUAAGAGACAGACAUGCAUCAGGCUGCUGUGUUGGAUUUACAGAGGACGUAGUAUUGAUUGAGCACACUGUCCAGGAGCAGAAGUUCUAUCGAAAGGUUAAAGGUCAGAAAGG